rnacentral:miRNA from 1 species
CAGCAGACACAUUCCAGCCAAUCAGCAGCUGACCCUCCCUCCCAGACCCUUCCACCUCCUGGACAGCAUCCAUUUUACAUUCAUUGUGAAGCUGCAUUCUUAGUGAGCUGUCCAGGAGGUGGGAGGGUCUGGGAGGGAGGGUCUGCUGCUGAUUGGCUGGAAUGUGUCUGCUG